AUGUCUUCUUUUGUAUUGGCAGAUGACAGUCAGCAUGCCACACGACGUAGACGCACGAUAAUAAUUGCUGCAUCCACGUCCGUAGCCAUUCUGUUAAUCAUCGCUGCUACUGGAUGUUGUUGUUACUUCAGGAGGAAGAAGAACCCUCCAGACGGUGAGUGUCCGUUAACUAACUGCAGUACAGUAUAUUUUGCGGCUGCAAUAGCUCAUUUAACAAGCCUGAUAUUAUUGCAGCACCAGCAGAAGAAGAACUUGCCUUGCUCGCAUUCCAAGCAGGGCCGACCAGAUAUACGCACUCGGAAACUGAAAUUGCGACGAACGGAUUCGACAGAUCCAUAG
rnacentral:rRNA from 1 species